AUUGGAUUCAUUUCUGCUUUGGGCUGGGAAACAGCCGAGAGAGAGAGAGAGAGAGAGAGAGAGUGUUCAACCAAGGAAGAAGUGAACUCAAGAGAUUCAACCAUUGAAUGCUUAAGGGUUAAGUGCAAGGACGAAUCGAGCAUCGGAACAUUGUGAGCAACAGGAUGCCUAACCCCAACUGUAACGAACCUAAGAAAGAAUGCCAAGUUGUGGAGUCAAUCAUGCCACGCCUCACGAACGAGGCCUUGGUUUUCAAAACCAUCAUUUUAACCAUUUUGCCUUCUUUGAUGGUUAUGUUUGACCUUAACAGUAUGUAGGCAAUGGUUUUGUAUAAAUAUGGUAUUACAUGGAUCUAGACAUAGAAUAUCUUUUAUGUGGGUAUGUUUGGUGUGAGUUAUUAAUAUAAGAAAUGUUUUUAUUUAUUCCA